rnacentral:rRNA from 1 species
UACGUAGGGGGCAAGCGUUGUCCGGAUUUAUUGGGCGUAAAGAGCGUGUAGGCGGCCUGACAGGUCUGCUGUGAAAACUCGAGGCUCAACCUCGAGAUGUCGGCGGAAACCGUCUGGCUAGAGUUCGGUAGGGGAGACUGGAAUCCUGGUGUAGCGGUGAAAUGCGCAGAUAUCAGGAGGAACACCCAGUAGCGAAGGCGGCACUCUGGGCCGGAACUGACGCUGAGGAGCGAAAGCGUGGAGCAACAAGAU